rnacentral:rRNA from 1 species
AUGGGUAUGCAGUCUAUGAUGGAUGUCCGGUGCAUGAACCUUGUCAACCCUGUAUGCGACUGGCUUGGUGAGAUCUACGACCCCGCCUCCAGGGAAUUCGUGAUUCCGGGAUGUGGAAGACUACCGUUGAACGAGGAAUCCGUGUUCUGCACUUUGGGUGUGCCUCGUGGACAUAUCAAAGUCCCGUACGAGGUCAACAAUGAGAUCGAGGAAGCGUUGUUCCCCCGUUUGUUUCCUGGGUCGGAAUCCAUGCCGAACACGUCUGCAGUGGCAGAUUCGCUGCAGGCCAUGAAAACGCAUGGAGAUGUUUUCAAGAUGAAGCUACUCAUGUACCUCAUCUCAGCUGUAUUCGCGCCGACCACCUCUCUUCGCCCAAGCAACAAAUGCUUCCCCGUCCUGGUGAAUGAUCCAUCUUUACUACUUUAUUUUCCUUUGAUCUUUUUGGCUCCGAUGUCAUGUGUAAAGCGGAUCUGGAAAAUGUGA